UUACACUUAUAAUGCAAUAAAAAAAGUUCGGCAAUUAAUUAAUGGUUGUUUAUGAAUAAUAUUUCAGUUUUAUUGGGUGAAAUUUUUAAAAUUGGAGAUUAUUUAUAUUAAUUAUAUGAGGUUAACAAGUUUAGGUUUUAGACUAGGAUUAGAUACCCUAUUAUUCUAAAUUAGAUAUUAGUUGCUUGGUUAGUAGUAGUUAUAGCCUUGAAAAUUAAAGAAGUUGGCGGUAUUUUAGUCUAUUCAGAGGAAUCUGUCCUAUAAUCGAUGGUCCACGAUUUUUUUUACUUAUUUUAAUUAGUUUGCAUAUCGCCGUGGGUUGAAUAUUUUUAAAAAAGUGUAAUGUUCAAUAAUUUUUAUAAGAAAAGAAUUCAGGUCAAGAUGUAGUUUAUAGAUAAGAAGAGAUGGGUUACAAUAAGUUUACUUAUACGGAUUGGUAGAUGAAAUUUUAUUGAGAAGAUGGAUUUGAGGGUAAUUUUAUUAAAAUUAAUAAAAUGAUUUAAGCUCUAAAAUAUGUACAUAU
rnacentral:rRNA from 1 species